rnacentral:rRNA from 1 species
AUUGAACGCUGGCGGCAUGCCUUACACAUGCAAGUCGAACGGCAGCGCGGGCUUCGGCCUGGCGGCGAGUGGCGAACGGGUGAGUAACAUAUCGGAACGUGCCCUGGAGUGGGGGAUAACUAGUCGAAAGAUUAGCUAAUACCGCAUACGAUCUACGGAGGAAAGUGGGGGACCGCAAGGCCUCAUGCUCGUGGAGCGGCCGAUAUCUGAUUAGCUAGNGGUGGGGUAAAGCCUACCAAGGCCACGAUCAGUAGCUGGUCUGAGAGGACGACCAGCCACACUGGGACUGAGACACGGCCCAGACUCCUACGGGAGGCAGCAGUGGGGAAUUUUGGACAAUGGGCGCAAGCCUGAUCCAGCAAUGCCGCGUGAGUGAAGAAGGCCUCGGUUGUAAGUA